UAAGAACGGCCAUGCACCACCACCCACAGAAUCAAGAAAGAGCUAUCAAUCUGUCAAUCCUUACUAUGUCUGGACCUGGUGAGUUUCCCCGUGUUGAGUCAAAUUGAGCCGCGGGCUCCACUCCUGGUGGUGCCAUUCCGUCAAUGCCUUUAAGUUUCAGUCUUGCGACCACAUUCCCCCUGGAAGUCAAAGACUUUGAUUUUCAGAAAGUGUCGAAGGAAGCAACCGGUAGCUGCAUCCAAUUUCUUGGUAGCAUAGUGUCUGGUUAAGACUAGGACGGUAUCUAAUCGUCUUCGAUCCCCUAACUUUCGUUCUUGAUUAAAGAAGACAUCCUUGGCAAAUGCAUUCGCAUUAGUUUGUCUUUAACAAAUCCAAGAAUUUCACCUCUGACAGUUAAAUACAAAUGCCCCCAACCAUCCC
rnacentral:rRNA from 1 species